rnacentral:rRNA from 1 species
AGCGAACGCUGGCGGCAGGCCUAAAACAUGCAAGUCGAACGCCGUAGCAAUACGGAGUGGCAGACGGGUGAGUAACACGUGGGAACAUACCCUUUGGUUCGGAACAACACAGGGAAACUUGUGCUAAUACCGGAUAAGCCCUUACGGGGAAAGAUUUAUCGCCGAAGGAUUGGCCCGCGUCUGAUUAGCUAGUUGGUGGGGUAACGGCCCACCAAGGCUACGAUCAGUAGCUGGUCUGAGAGGAUGAUCAGCCACACUGGGACUGAGACACGGCCAGACUCCUACGGGAGCAGCAGUGGGAAUCUUGCGCAAUGGCCUAACGGCUGACGCAGCGACGCCGCGUGUGGGAUGAAGCUCUUCGGAGUGUAAACCACUGUUGCCCGGGACGAACAGCUCGAUU